rnacentral:rRNA from 1 species
GCGUUACUGAGAAUCACUGGGUUUAAAGGGUGCGUAGGUGGCGCGUUAAGUCCGUUGUGAAAUCCCUCGGCUCAACCGAGGAACUGCCGUCCAAACUGCUUGGCUUGAGACCGGGAGAGGUGAGUGGAAUUCCCAGUGUAGCGGUGAAAUGCGUAGAUAUUGGGAGGAACACCAGUGGCGAAGGCGGCUCACUGGACCGGUACUGACGCUGAGGCGCGAAAGCGCGGGGAGCAAACGGG